rnacentral:rRNA from 1 species
UACGUAGGGUGCGAGCGUUAAUCGGAAUUACUGGGCGUAAAGCGUGCGCAGGCGGUUCGCUAAGACAGAUGUGAAAGCCCCGGGCUUAACCUGGGAAUUGCGUUUGUGACUGGCGGGCUAGAGUGCGGCAGAGGGAGGUGGAAUUCCACGUGUAGCAGUGAAAUGCGUAGAGAUGUGGAGGAACACCGAUGGCGAAGGCAGCCUCCUGGGCCAGCACUGACGCUCAUGCACGAAAGCGUGGGGAGCAAACAGG